UACGUAGGGUGCGAGCGUUAAUCGGAAUUACUGGGCGUAAAGCGUGCGCAGGCGGUUCUCCAAGUCCGUUGUGAAAGCCCCGGGCUCAACCUGGGAAUGGCAGUGGAAACUAGGGGACUGGAAUCUGGCAGAGGGGGGUGGAAUUCCACGUGUAGCGGUGAAAUGCGUAGAUAUCGGAAGGAACACCAGUGGCGAAAGCGGCUUCCUGGUCCAGCACCGACGUUCAGGCACGAAAGCGUGGGGAGCAAACAGG
rnacentral:rRNA from 1 species